rnacentral:lncRNA from 1 species
AGAAGUCGUCUCCGGAGAAGAUGGUGCCGGGGUAGGAGGAGAACACCUGGAUGCUGCCCGGGACGCGGGCAGUGCUGCCAGGUUCGGUGCGGAAGGGCAGCGUGUACUUCUUGAUGACGCGCAGCAUGGACUGGUAGGGUGCCCAGGUGUCAUGAGCCACCAGCAGGUCCCGGCGGCCCGGCAGCAGCUUGAGCAGCGCUGAGCAGGAACCGGAGCCCAGCAGGCGCCGUGGGGCUGAGCGGUUGAAGGCCGCCUCCAGGUCCUCCAGGUCCCCCCCCAGCUGCAGCAGGAGGAAGCCGAAAGGCGAGAGAGAGAUGCGGCCGGCGGGGAGGGCCACGCGCCCGCGGUAGCUGUCCUCCAACCCCUGCAGCUGCAGCAGAGCCAGGCGCACCUGGUGCCAGUAGGCGCGGUCGCGGCCGGAGGCCAUCUGCUCCUCCAUCCAGGCCAGGUUGGCCUCCAGGUAGCCCCGCAGCCGGCGGCAGUACUGCGUCUCGUAGCGGAAGGGCCCGCAGUAGCCCACGGCCGUGUUCAUCCAGUGCAUGUAGAUGAGCUGCUCGGUGACGGCGGCCUCGGCCAGCCCCGCGGCGUACGCCUGCAGGCUGUCGUUGAAGGACGCGUUGGCGGACACCUCGAGGAACGCCCACCCGACGGCCUGGAUGUGGUCGGUGAGCUCGGCCCAAGCGACGGCGGCGGGCUGGCGGCCGGGCAGCACGCGGAGCCGGCCCGAGCCGGGCUCCAGCAGCACGGAGGCGCUGCGGGGCGGAGGGGUCGGGCCGGACGCGACCCCCAGUACCCACGCGGCCACGGCGGCGGCCGCCAACAGCGCCCGCAGCGCCGCCAUCGCGGGAGGGGCGGGGCAGAGCCUGGGGCGGGGGCGUG